ACAGAGGUGACAGGUGGUGCAUGGUUGUCGUCAGCUCGUGUCGUGAGAUGUUGGGUUAAGUCCCGCAACGAGCGCAACCCUUAUCUUCAGUAGCCAGCAAUUCGGUUGGGCACUCUGGAGAGACUGCCAGGGAUAACCUGGAGGAAGGUGGGGAUGACGUCAAAUCAUCAUGCCCCUUAUGAUUUGGGCUACACACGUGCUACAAUGGCGUAAACAAAGGGAAGCAGCCCUGUGAAGGUGAGCAAAUCCCAAAAAUAACGUCUCAGUUCGGAUUGUAGUCUGCAACUCGACUACAUGAAGCUGGAAUCGCUAGUAAUCGCGAAUCAGAAUGUCGCGGUGAAUACGUUCCCGGGUCUUGUACACACCGCCCGUCACACCAUGGGAGUCGGAAAUGCCCGAAGUCAGUGACCCAACCGUAAGGAGGGAGCUGCCGAAGGUGGAGCCGGUAACUGGGGUGAAGUCGUAACAAGGUAGCCGUAUCGGAAGGUGCGGUUGGAUCACCUC
rnacentral:rRNA from 1 species